rnacentral:rRNA from 1 species
AGUGAACGCUGGCGGCGUGCUUAACACAUGCAAGUCGAACGAGAACGGAUUAUAGCUUGCUAUAAUUGUCAGCUAAGUGGCGCACGGGUGAGUAAUGUAUAGAUAACCUGCCCUCUAGAAAGGAAUAACAGUUGGAAACGACUGCUAAUGCCCUAUAUGCCUUUAAUACAUAAGUAUGCAAGGGAAACGCUUUAGUGCUAGAGGAUGGGUCUGUAUGGUAUCAGUUAGUUGGUGAGGUAAUGGCUCACCAAGACAAUGACGCCUAACUGGUUUGAGAGGAUGAUCAGUCACACUGGAACUGAGACACGGUCCAGACUCCUACGGGAGGCAGCAAUGGGGAAUAUUGCACAAUGGACGAAAGUCUGAUGCAGCAACGCCGCGUGGAGGAUGACACAUUUCGGUGCGUAAACUCCUUUUAUAUAGGAAGAUAAUGACGGUACUAUAUGAAUAAGCACCGGCUAACUCCGUGCCAGCCGCCGCGGUAA